UUGAGUUUGAAACGGGCUAUUCUUCAAAGCUGAUGAACAAGUCUUAACCUACCCGUUCUCAAUCUUCGCGUGCUAUACAUCAUUCUAGACUGCUGCGGUUAAUUUUUGGCAUUUGAUAGCGACGGUGGUGGUGGUGCUUUGAACGCCAGGCAACAGUCUUCGGUGGCAAUGGCUCUUAGAUUCUAUCUGGAAGCACCACCGAUGAGUGAAAGAUAUAUAUAUAAUAGUUUUUAUAUUAUUUAAUGGUUGAUCAACCUAAACCUCCUUCACACUCGCUUUCAUGGCUUUUUCUGCAGAUUUUAAUUUCUAAUCUCUCCUCGUUCAUCUGAUUUGUUCUUGCUGCUAAUUUCCACUGCGCAUUUUUUUAAUUCAGAUUGUUGAAGAAAUUGUUAGACGUUUAUAAGCUCGACUAUUUUUUUAUGCCGCCUGGAGAAAUCAAGAUCCUUUAUUUCUCGAAAUCCAAUUGCACUUUUAUCCUUGUCAAGAACAAAGGUUAUGGCAAAAACUCAACGAGGUGGCGUAGGAGGGUCCCAAGAUCUGACUGGCUCGCCCGUAAGACAUGUUACCCGGGCAUCCGCACGCAACAGCCCCGUAGAUGGAACUAAUGUAGCUAGCAGGAACCCAUCACCUAUGUGGAAAACUGCAAAAAAAAUGACAAAACGAAAGGGAACGCGGGUCUCACCAUUGCUCCGGCAAAUUCGCUCCAUCACAUCAGAGUGGGAGAAAGGGGGCAAUAUACAUGCUCCCACCAAAUCAACGACAUCGUCUGUUCGACAGGCAGUGCUUCAGGAUUCGCAGGGGCCUGCAGAGGGAUAUCCCAGCUUCCCUUGAACCAAAUGCACCCAUGCAGGAUGAGGAUGAGACAAUACCCCUCACACAAGUAGAUGACGAAACAAUCCCACCGAUGCAAGACAUGGAGACUGCAGAGAGUGAUAUGCCGUUCUUGGAUGGGGAAUUGGGGCCCGACCUUCUGGUGAUGGAAGACACAGAGGCGGGCGAUAUGGCACACACUUGGAUGGGAUAACAUCAGAUGGCGGUUUGGAAAUCAUCCUUGACAUUGGUUCCUCAAAGAAGAAACAGGGAAGGGGGUAGCGAGAAUGCCACAUGGAUGAGGAAAAGAUCACAAGAUGCUUGUAUUUACAUCGACGGAUGGAAAAAGCAUUGUUGGACCUGACGUAAAUGAGUACAAGACUGCUAUUGGGGUUAUUGCGCGCAAUGGAGCUCGACUUCCUCUGCAUUACCAGACAUUUGCUAAAAUACCGGAGACAAAGAGACAGGGUGCAUGGAUGGAGGUUCAGAGCAACAACGGAUUACCAAACUUAGCAGAGAAAGUGGUCUUGGCUGACUUAAGGGAGGUUCGGAGGCAUUGGAAAUACAGCAUCAAAUCAACUUACUUCAUCCCAAUCCAGGAUGAUAACAAAGCAUUGAAAAAGGUUCCUUCAAGCUGGAUUGUGGCUGAUCAAUGGCCGAAGUUGGUCGAGUACUGGCAGGACGAAAAGGUUAAGCUUCAAUCCAAGAAAAAUGCAUCUAACGUACAAAAAAAGAAGCUUCCCGCAUCGUACUGGGCGGAAGUCCUUCACGACUCUCGCCGAUGAGAUCAAGGCGAAGGGGAAGGACCCCGACAGUUUAGAGAUAUGGAUAUCCAGUCGGACACAAGGCAAGGGAACAUACAAUCAACAAACCGAAAAGAUAUUGACAUAUUUGCAGAAUGAGCUAAACAAGAUUCCCCCGGAAGGGUGGACUCCGGCUGUUCGGGAGACUCUUUACCCAUGGGCUGUUGGGGGAAAGAGCAAAAAAUGCUCAAAGGUUGACAGUGCCGCCAGUUCAGCUCAUCUCCGCAGUGAUGCAACUGGUUUAACAGAUAAUGUAGCAUUCCAGCAAAGGUAGGAAGAAAUGCAGAGCGGACUUGCAGAGAUUUUAAGGCAACGAUGGCUGAGUCGAAAACCAUCAAGGCUGAUGUGUAUGCAUUCAUGCACAGAAACUCCGGAGUAGUUAGUGGCCCAUCUGCCACAACUCGUAUUGAUACGGUCUCUGAGCUUCUUAGGCCUGUCUCCGAAUAACCUAUGACGGUUGGCACCCUUGUGCUUAUAUUAUCUCGUACCGGAGAGAAGAAAGUUGUUUCUGAGGGACUUCUGCUUAGCCCCCCUGCACCAAGUUCGUGGCAUUGUGCCUUGAAUUUUUUCUUUGAAUCCUUCAAUAUAAUGUUCAUACUACAUUGUCGAUGUUGUGACCGUACAGGUCUCAUAGUGCAGUUGAUUAUGGUUUUAUUAAGUAUGGAGAUCUUUAAUUUUACAUAUGUAGCAGUUAGAGUAUUUUGUAUAUAUAGAUUGUUAUUGUAGGGACAGUGGCUAUGUUGGUGUAAUGCUGAUUUUUUGCUGAUCUUAUAUUUUUGAUCGCUGACAUGACA